UACUCGAGCGGCGAACAAACAGACGGCGCCGACUUCCCGUCAAGCAGAAAGCCGGGCAGUCGCCGCAGAGCCGGGCCCCACUUUGGAAAGCCCUCAUAAAUCCUGAUUUGAGCGGAGCGCUAACCAGAGGAGCUCCAGAGGGGGGUGCUGGGAAGAAGAAGGAGGGAAGGAGGAAUGAUGAAUGAUUUCUGGACAGCUGUGGGUGACAUGCCAGGCGAGGUCUAAAGCCUUUCGCGGGGAGGAAAAAUUGGCAGAGAUGUUGCCAACAAGGUGUGAAUGUGACUGGGAGAAAGUGCUGACACUGCAGCGAGUGAGCUGCCACUACUGUCUACCUGCGGCUGCCGUUCUGGAGGGUGACAGCGGAGUCUGGGGAAGAGUCAUCCGAGAGGUUUUUCUCUCUCCAAGCAGCAUGGUGUCAUUCAUCCUCAUCUCUCUGAGAUAAUAACUGCUUCUCUAAUAAAGAAGCACUCAAUAUGUUUUCAUCAGUGCAUUACGCUGGAUUUUAUUCUGCUAUUAAUUCCUCUUUUUCAUGUCUUUUUCGCAGCCUGGCUCUUUUCUGGAACUGUUCUUUCCACGGAUCCUCUGGUGCCACUUUCUUGCUCUUCUUCAAUCUUUCCAUCCCACCCUCUGCAUUGCAACAGCCCAGAUGUGUGUUGCCAGCGCCAAUGAUAUAUGUGGUACAGGGUAGGAGGUGGGACCCUGGGGUUUGAACCCUCUGGCAAAGACAACAAGUCCUGCAGUUGCCUGAUGUCUGCCUCGGCCCACAGAUCUGCCCUCUGGAUACUUUACACGUUCUCCCAAAAUACAUCUCGCUCUGAAUCAGUCCUUCUUUCCCCUCCUCUCCUGCUCUGCACAGCCCGCUUUUCCUUCUUAGCCUGAAAUGUAAACCAACUCAAAUUUCUUGAGAUAUCUUAAAAUGUCUAAAUGCUCAUUUUAGGGCUCUACUUUGACCCAGUGCUGAAACCUUCCACUGACUUCUGUUUGUACCUUGAAGACCAUAACAAAAGGAUGCACCUCCUGCAGAGCGCAGGGAUUUUGGGCAUAGCUGUGUGUGUGUGUGUGGGUACAUGUGUUGCCCUUUAUGCUGACACAACAUUUCCUUCACCUGCUCUCACUUGAAAGCAAACGUGCCGUUACAUGUAAGUAUCUCAAUCUAAUCUCAUUAAACUGUGCUUUCUUUUUUCUUUUUUUUGACUGUUUCUGGUCAAAUAGCCUUUAAAGGCCUCUAAGCUUGUUAGCGCGUGCACGUACUGUAUGUGCACGUGGUGCACCUCAUGUGUUGAGGGGGGGUGAGGGAAGAAGACUCACGGGAAGAAGGGACGAGUUGGAGAAAGCGAAAUAAAGGAAUAGCAGAUAGUCUCAGGAGACGGCGUGGACCGUUUUGAAAGGAGACGUUUGAUUUCCUUUGAAAUCGCCUGCGCGAGGCCGACUGCCAUGUUGUGAUCUUUAAGCAUUGUGCAUUAAGGGGGCCGACAGGGCUGGGCCCCCUUCCUGGGUCUGGGCUUUUGUGUCUCUGCCCACCUGUCUGUUUAGAAGAUGAAUGUACAGUAAAGAGAGGCAAAGUUAGCUGAUAUAAAAAGGAAGGAAGGAAGGAAGGAAGGAGAGCAGGGUCACAGGUUCAGAUUCAUUUCACAUCAU